AACACAUGCAAGUCGAACGGGGUAGCAAUACCCAGUGGCAGACGGGUGAGUAACACGUGGUCAACCUACCUCUGUGUGGGGGAUAACUAGCCGAAAGGUUAGCUAAUACCGCAUACGAUCGUUUUGGGGCAUCUCGAGACGAUGAAAGGAGCAAUCCGCACGGAGAGGGGACUGCGUCCCAUUAGUUAGUUGGUGGGGUAACGGCCUACCAAGACUCCGAUGGGUAGCUGGCUUGAGAGAGCGACCAGCCACACUGGAACUGAGACACGGUCCAGACUCCUACGGGAGGCAGCAGUGAGGAAUUUUCCGCAAUGGGCGAAAGCCUGACGGAGCGACGCCGCGUGUGGGAAGAAGGCCUUCGGGUCGUAAACCACUGUCGGAGGGGACGAUAUUGACGGUACCCUUGGAGGAAGCCCCGGCUAACUACGUGCCCACAGCCGCGGUAAGACGUAGGGGGCAAGCGUUGUCCGGAAUU
rnacentral:rRNA from 1 species